GUACGAACGCUGGCGGCGUGCCUAAUACAUGCAAGUAGAACGCUGAAGAGAGGAGCUUGCUCUUCUUGGAUGAGUUGCGAACGGGUGAGUAACGCGUAGGUAACCUGCCUUGUAGCGGGGGAUAACUAUUGGAAACGAUAGCUAAUACCGCAUAACAAUGGAUGACACAUGUCAUUUAUUUGAAAGGGGCAAAUGCUCCACUACAAGAUGGACCUGCGUUGUAUUAGCUAGUAGGUGAGGUAACGGCUCACCUAGGCGACGAUACAUAGCCGACCUGAGAGGGUGAUCGGCCACACUGGGACUGAGACACGGCCCAGACUCCUACGGGAGGCAGCAGUAGGGAAUCUUCGGCAAUGGGGGCAACCCUGACCGAGCAACGCCGCGUGAGUGAAGAAGGUUUUCGGAUCGUAAAGCUCUGUUGUAAGUCAAGAACGAGUGUGAGAGUGGAAAGUUCACACUGUGACGGUAGCUUACCAGAAAGGGACGGCUAACUACGUGCCAGCAGCCGCGGUAAUACGUAGGUCCCGAGCGUUGUCCGGAUUUAUUGGGCGUAAAGCGAGCGCAGGCGGUUUGAUAAGUCUGAAGUUAAAGGCUGUGGCUCAACCAUAGUUCGCUUUGGAAACUGUCAAACUUGAGUGCAGAAGGGGAGAGUGGAAUUCCAUGUGUAGCGGUGAAAUGCGUAGAUAUAUGGAGGAACACCGGUGGCGAAAGCGGCUCUCUGGUCUGUAACUGACGCUGAGGCUCGAAAGCGUGGGGAGCGAACAGGAUUAGAUACCCUGGUAGUCCACGCCGUAAACGAUGAGUGCUAGGUGUUGGAUCCUUUCCGGGAUUCAGUGCCGCAGCUAACGCAUUAAGCACUCCGCCUGGGGAGUACGACCGCAAGGUUGAAACUCAAAGGAAUUGACGGGGGCCCGCACAAGCGGUGGAGCAUGUGGUUUAAUUCGAAGCAACGCGAAGAACCUUACCAGGUCUUGACAUCCCGAUGCUAUUUCUAGAGAUAGAAAGUUACUUCGGUACAUCGGUGACAGGUGGUGCAUGGUUGUCGUCAGCUCGUGUCGUGAGAUGUUGGGUUAAGUCCCGCAACGAGCGCAACCCCUAUUGUUAGUUGCCAUCAUUCAGUUGGGCACUCUAGCGAGACUGCCGGUAAUAAACCGGAGGAAGGUGGGGAUGACGUCAAAUCAUCAUGCCCCUUAUGACUUGGGCUACACACGUGCUACAAUGGUUGGUACAACGAGUUGCGAGUCGGUGACGGCAAGCUAAUCUCUUAAAGCCAAUCUCAGUUCGGAUUGUAGGCUGCAACUCGCCUACAUGAAGUCGGAAUCGCUAGUAAUCGCGGAUCAGCACGCCGCGGUGAAUACGUUCCCGGGCCUUGUACACACCGCCCGUCACACCACGAGAGUUUGUAACACCCGAAGUCGGUGAGGUAACCUUUUGGAGCCAGCCGCCUAAGGUGGG
rnacentral:rRNA from 1 species